GCAUUGGUAGUUCAGUAGUAGAACUCUCGCUUCCUAUGCAAGAGACCCGAGUUCGAUUCUCAGCCAAUGCA
rfam:Loxodonta africana unplaced genomic scaffold scaffold_68, whole genome shotgun sequence.